rnacentral:lncRNA from 1 species
AGAGAAUGACCUAUUUCUUCUUUGUAAUAAGUGGCCAUAUUUUGUUUAUCCAUAGAUAAACCAGCACUGUAGCAUACUUCUGGUUUUUGUGACCUCUCCAAAACCUUUGCGCAGGCAUUUCCUGAUUCCUGCAUUCUGCAGAUUUAGAACCAAAAGAGCCUGAAGAGCAGUACAGGGAUUGUUCCUGACAUCGUCAAAAAAGGUCUCGUGACUUCUGUUCACGCAAACUCCUCAGAAGAGAAGGAGGGAAAGGAGACAAGAGAAGCAUACUUAAAUCCUUUAGUCAAGUCAAACUAUCCAGGUACUGUUACUACUAAGAGUCUUCUAAAAGGACUGUCUUGUCCGAGGAGUUGCACAUCAUGAGUGCUGGUUUUACACCCUCACUGCAGAUUGUGGCUCUGCUCUCUUCUGGUUCGCCUUGGGACAGGAUUAUAAUGAGUAAAGACAACAGAUACUCCCAGGAUAUCUGCAGAUGAAGAGAAAGGAAGGCAAAGAAGAAAGAUUAAAAUAUCUGACUUCAUUGAGUUAGAUCUUCAGGACAGGUG